rnacentral:rRNA from 1 species
GCGCUUCUAAAAAAGGGUUUUUAGUGUUCGUGCGCGUCUUCCAUCGGUUUAGGGAUCUAAGCAAGGGGUGCGUGCGACGGACCCCGAGGGCGGCCAGCUAGGGUGCGGCAGGGUGGCGGCGGGGCUGUGGCGGGCCCCGAUGGCGGCCAGCUAGAGCUGCGGCAUGGUGGCGGCGGGGUAUGGCGGUACGGAGAUGUCGCGGCGGGCUGCGUCGGUACGGAGAUUUGCGGCGGCACGGAGAUAUCGCGGCGAGGUGCGGCAGGACGGGGAAGUCGCGUCGGGUUGCAGCAGGACGUAGAGGUGACGGCCGGGUUGCGGAAGGACGAGAGAGAGGCCCACCGGCGGAGAGAGGUGCCGGUGUAGGUCGUGUCAACGGCGGAGGAGGGACCGGGCUGGAGGGGGUACAGGUGGUGCUUUCGUGUGCGUCGCCACCGCCGCUAAACCUAGCCCCGUCGCACGCCGACCCGUUCCCGUAGCUACGCCGACUCCAUAUUGAGGAGGGAGAGACAGAAACGUAGGGAGGAAGAUAGAGAGAGAAGACCUCCGCAUAAAACUGUCAACGACCGUCCCUUUCCUAAUGAGGCCGCCGCCCCUUGCCCCUCGAGGCCGCCACCCUUUGCUCAUCUACAAGGUCACCUGUUCCGUGGAGUACGAAAUAAUAAGAGACCAAGAGGCUAAACGACACAUGACGACGGUCGAUCAGACUAACACUCUUCGAAAUACCGUCGCUAUACUUGAUUAAAAUCUUCAACUCGACAACACACGUUUAAAACAAAUAAAGGUCACGUUUAAAACACCAUGGCUAUACUUGAUUAGAAAAAAAAGGUAACCAGUAAAUCAAGUGGAAAGUGAUUCUCAGUACAAAUGCCACAAUGAGAACAAUACGAAGACGGGUUCUAUUCAAUUAAAAACGAGAAGGUUUUUCCAAGGGGCCUAUACAAAGGACAAAACACGAAUCAGACGGUACUACACAAAUCAGACGGUGGCACAAAUCACAGAGAAACACGAACUAUUCUCCUAACAAGUUUACAUUUUUGAAAGAAAAAUGUACUCUACUGUACCGAAAACGGGGGACAAAAGCGACUGAACCAAAGACGUCCAUCGUAUCACAUAUUGACGACCAUUGUAACUCAGCAGUUCCUCUUCAUCGUCCUCCUUUUUACCUUUCGCGUUCACCUUCGCCUUUUCGAUUUCCACCACCCCCAGUACCUCCUUGUAGACUUUCGCCAUUCUCCAUGUUCAAACUACGGCGCGACUAACUACGUGUUGAAUACUUUUCUACACUGUCAUCUUAAUCACUUCGACUGACCUUCUUGGAAUAAUGAAUGACCUCUAGAAGCCAUAAACUUCGACAGUUUGAACAGGUAGUCGGAGCUUCUCUAGUUCAAAUAUAGCUCUGUUUAUGUACGUUCUUUCCCCUAUUCUUUCCCUCAAUACACGGCGUCCGUCUUCGUUGUUAAUUUAUAGAGUAUCCUUUCGACUUUUCGCGUGACUUACCUUCCUUUUUCGUAAGUUCUUCCACUAGACAAACGUGUACAUACACCUUACUUCCUCGGUUCCCCAGCACAAGCAUGAAGACAUACGUACCUGACCAGUACUUUGAGGACAACGAGUCCGUUGUUAAAGGUUUAAACUGGGCAUAAACCAGUCCGUUCCAAGCGAAAAGGAAAUUAGUACGUAUAACUAAUAUUAUCAGAAUACGAUAAAAUUGGAAACGUGACACGAAACAUGUAUAUUGAAUAUGAUACGCGUUUAUAUAACAAAGGUACAUUCUUUCACACUACUUAUUUUUAUUCAGUUUUUUAUAUAUGUUACGGAAGACUUAGACUCGUUAUAGGGGUGUUAAAAAAAAGACAUAGUGUUCUCUGGUGGUACUACUCAUAUACACAAGGUUACUCGUCUAUCACGAUCGAAUUAAAUACUUAUUACCUUUUUAUAUAACUCCGACACUUCUUCCGACGGUAGCUCUGUUUCUCGCUCGUGGGGUUCCUAAUUACGCACCGUAUCUUCCAAUAGUUUUCUUGAUACAGAAAAACAAUUAAUUAAAGGAUCUAUUCAUGUGAGCGUGUACGUAGAAACGCUGUUUUAUUUUUGAUUUGAUGAGAGAGAGAGAGAGAGAGAGAGAGAGAGAGAUUACAAUAGUUUUCAUGAUUAACACUUAAAGUAGAGAUAAAAGAGGUUUUUGAGACAAACCAUAGGGAAAGUGACAUUCAAAUAAUGAUACACUAAUCUCUUUAAUUCUACAUAUACACGUAUGACAUUCUUGUACUAGUCACCACAUGUCUAGGAUACUUCACUUUAUGGGUUGCGUCAAAUAUGAGUUGCGUCAAAUACACAUGUCUAGGACACACGUAUAAAAGCAAAAAGGAUCUAAAUAUCUUGUUAUCGUAUACGCCGUAUUCGUUUUUGACAUACACUACAUUUGAUACCAGAUUACUAAAUUCUAGCAGUAUCAAUAAGGGUUGAUUAUUAGAGUUUGUGUUUUUUCCAUGGGACACACAUACGUGUCCAGCUACUUUUACAGUGUGUUAACUAAGAUACGACAUAGUGGGUUACAUAUCGUCGAAGGAACUGAAAUAAAACAAGAGUAGCUCACCGUACCAUAAGACGGUACAAGGGGACAGAUACGUAGUAACCGGGAACCGGCCACGAAGAGGACAACUCGCGGAUCCCCCUCUAAUUUAUUCUUGUCGUCGUCUCGUUGUAGCCGCAACUUUUUCUCGUAGCCCCUCUAAUAAUACGUACCGUCUAAUUAUGUGAAGAUAUUGAUACAUUAAAGCUAUAAAUAACAUGACUUCGAGGUGAUAUUGUUGGUCACGUGAUUUAUUGUUGUUGAAAACAUUAGGUACACGUCAAGAUCCAAGACCGAAACAUCACACGUAGUAGAUCAACUUUUUACUUUACUACACUUUGAUACAAGCUAGAACGACCAAACGACGAACAGUUGGAACGAUACGACGACAGACGACUUAAGACCCACAUGCAGCUACGUUUACUUGUACCUUUGCUGAAGUCGAAGUGUAAAAAAAAUGAUUCGGAGUACUACGAUUACCAUCAACCAAAGAUAUGAGACGUUCGGAGUACUACGAUUAACUUUAUAGGAAAUAGUACAACGUCUACGAUUCGUUUACGAAAGCUACGAUGGACAAGAAUAAGUCGACGAUUGAAAAGAAUUAGUAGACUAAAGAAGAAAGUAAGUACAUCCUUACCGAUUUCCAUGCGCGCGAAAAUUUUAAAGAUCUUCCCAUGGGGAAAAGGACGGUCACUACAAGUUCGAUCUCUUACUAGAGGUUACUCUACUUCCUACUUCCGAAACUACAGUUCACGCUCUUGCUACGUUGCUAGAACGACCUUCCGACACUCCUACCCAUACAUCAACGGGUGAUGUUCCUCGGUUCCGUCUACUACAUAACGUCUUUUGUUUCGCUGUUUGAAAACGAGAGUCUGUCACUUGAUAGUACAAAGGAGAUAAAUUAAUCAAUGUAAUCAAAUAAAUAUCCUUUGAACCGACCGGUAAGCAAGUAUUGAUAACUUGAUAAAUAUACACUUUUAAUUACUUACACACACUGAUAACAAACCAAGACC